rnacentral:misc_RNA from 1 species
GGGCGACCAAACCCCAAAAUCAUACGGUCUUAUAUGGAUGGCACCAACGUUGAAACUAUUAUUUCCAAUUCAACCCAUUCCAUCAGUACACCAAUGGAUUUAGCCAUAGACAACUCAGAUGGCAGUCUUGUAUGGUGUGACGAUACCUUGGAUAAAAUUGACAUCGUAAGCAUGAUCACUCUGACGUCAAGUACAGUCAUUAGCAACAGGGGAGAAUAUCCUGUAUCGGUGGCAGUUCUCGGGGAAUUCAUUUAUUAUAUAGCCAGAGACAGAAGAUCAAUCACAAAGAUUUCUAAAAUAACUGGAUCCAAGCCUGAUGACGUGGUGUCCUCUCCAUUAUUUGGAAAACUUUUGUACUUAACCAUCUAUGAGGAAAGUAAAAGCUUACAUAAACUGUGUUCUAACCAAAACGGUAUGUGCAGCAAAUUUUGUUUACCAAGAGGAGAAAAUGAUAGAGUAUGCGAUUGUGAAGAGGGCAACAAUGUAAAUUCAGAAGGACUUUGCCCCGGCGACGUACAGUGCCAGUUAGUUAUAGACCACGGAAGAAUCCCAACAACUUGCAGACGACUGACCGGGGACGUUUGUGAGUUCACGUGUAACGAAGGUUACCAGCUCGGUGUACCGGAAACAACCAUGCUUCUGUGUGAAUCCAAUGGGAAGUGGAACCAAACGAGCGAGCUGUGUAAAGUUAAAAAGUGUCAGGACUCGUUUGAAAAUGGUAACAUGGCGUCUGGUUGCAGCCUAGAGGUGGAUACUACAUGUGGAUAUACAUGUCACGAUGGAUAUAUUAAGUCGGGAUCGGUAUCCUUAGUCUGCAAUAAGAAUGGAGCUUGGAACGAGGAGAUUAACCAGUUAUGCAAACUCAAAGACAAAGGCAACACCGAUGCAAUUAUAGGAGGAGGAGUGGCUGGUUCAGCAGCAGGCCUCGUUUUGAUUAUUGUCAUCAUUGUUGCUGUCGUCUGCAUGCGGAAUAGAAGAAAGAAGAAAAGGGAUUCAGAGAACCAACCCAUUAACGUGUCUUACGUUUGCCCAAGCGUGAGUGGAAGUGUUCUCUCCACCUCUCAAAUAAGUACCUACACAACACUUACCGAUGACAGAGAAAGUGUCUACAGUGAAAUCAGAGAAGAGUUUGAUCAACCCAAAACGGUUGAAAUACCACCAAUACAUGAUAAACAUUUUAAGGACAUGGGAGUAGAUAUUCAGAAAGGUUCCUCAAUUAGAUCUGAAAGAUAUUCCAUCUUUCCAGGAAAAAAUGCGGACGAAGGUGGCUACCUUGAGGCAUGCCAUGUAGGAAAUUCUAAUGAUUUUCUGCCAGUGCCUGAUUAUGAUCAUGAUGAUUGGCUGGAACCAAGCCCACGUAACGGAUAUCUGGAUGCAGUGAUGAUAAAUGAUCACUAUGGAAACCCAAAACGCAAGGAUGAUGCCCGUUUUAAACAUCCGUAUGAGUAAAAAUGUUGCAUAGUUUUAGGGAAGAAUGUCGUUAUAAAAAUGCUGAGUUACUCCAUGUGUGAGAUUAUCAUCCUUUUGUCAAUUAUUUUGAAUUUCAUCUAAUGCAUGUAAUACUAGUAUUUUGCGGCAAAAAAAUAAAUUCAGUUGGCUAUAGCACUUAUCAGUAUACACAAAGGACUAUUAAUGUUUAAGUGCCUAAGAUUUUAGAAGCAUUGCAAAGUAGUCAAACGGAACUAAUACCACAUUUAGGGAGGUUGGAUGGUCAACAAUUAACCAUCAGAUGUACUUGAACAUUUAUAGAUAUUAUUGUUAUUACUAUUAUCAAGUAAAAAAAAUUUAUAU